CGGGUAGAGUAACGCGUGGGUAACCUGCCUCAUACAGGGGGAUAACAGUUAGAAAUGACUGCUAAUACCGCAUAAGCGCACAGAAUCGCAUGAUUCGGUGUGAAAAACUCCGGUGGUAUGAGAUGGACCCGCGUCUGAUUAGCUAGUUGGUGGGGUAAAGGCCUACCAAGGCGACGAUCAGUAGCCGACCUGAGAGGGUGAUCGGCCACAUUGGGACUGAGACACGGCCCAAACUCCUACGGGAGGCAGCAG
rnacentral:rRNA from 1 species